AGGACGAACGCUGGCGGCGUGCUUAACACAUGCAAGUCGAGCGGUAAGGCCUUUCGGGGUACACGAGCGGCGAACGGGUGAGUAACACGUGGGUGAUCUGCCCUGCACUUCGGGAUAAGCCUGGGAAACUGGGUCUAAUACCGGAUAUGACCUCCGAUCGCAUGGUUGGUGGUGGAAAGAUUUAUCGGUGCAGGAUGGGCCCGCGGCCUAUCAGCUUGUUGGUGGGGUAAUGGCCUACCAAGGCGACGACGGGUAGCCGACCUGAGAGGGUGACCGGCCACACUGGGACUGAGACACGGCCCAGACUCCUACGGGAGGCAACAGUGGGGAAUAUUGCACAAUGGGCGAAAGCCUGAUGCAGCGACGCCGCGUGAGGGAUGACGGCCUUCGGGUUGUAAACCUCUUUCAGCAGGACGAAGCGCAAGUGACGGUACCUGCAGAAGAAGCACCGGCUAACUACGUGCCAGCAGCCGC
rnacentral:rRNA from 1 species